rnacentral:rRNA from 1 species
GAUGAACGCUAGCGGCAGGCCUAACACAUGCAAGUCGAGGGGCAUCGCGGGUAGCAAUACCUGGCGGCGACCGGCGCACGGGUGAGUAACACGUAUGCAACCUGCCCCGAACCGGGGGAUAACCCGAAGAAAUUCGGACUAAUACCCCAUAGCGCGUAGCGGUGGCAUCACCACUACCCUAAAGAUUUAUCAGUUCGGGAUGGGCAUGCGCCCUAUUAGCUAGUUGGCGGGGUAAAGGCCCACCAAGGCAGCGAUAGGUAGGGGUUCUGGGAGGAAGGGCUCCCACACUGGUACGAGGUCACGGACCAGACUCCUACGGGGGGCAGCAGUGAGGAAUAUUGGUCAAUGGGCGGAAGCCUGAACCAGCCAUGCCGCGUGCAGGACGACGGCCCUACGGGUUGUAAACUGCUUUUAUGCGGGAGCAGACCCCUCCUCGCGAGGAGGGUUGAGAGUACCGCACGAAUAAGGAUCGGCUAACUCCGUGCCAGCAGCCGCAGUAA